GACGAACCGUACGAACGUUAUUCGGAAUCACUGGGCUUAAAGGGUGCGUAGGCGGCGCAGAAAGUUGGGUGUGAAAUCCCUCGGCUUGACCGAGGAAUUGCGCCCAAAACUACUGUGCUCGAGGGAGGUAGAGGUGAGCGGAACUUAGGGUGGAGCGGUGAAAUGCGUUGAUAUCCUAAGGAACACCGGUGGCGAAAGCGGCUCACUGGACCUCUUCUGACGCUGAGGCACGAAAGCCAGGGGAGCAAACGGG
rnacentral:rRNA from 1 species